rnacentral:rRNA from 1 species
AUUGAACGCUGGCGGCAGGCCUAACACAUGCAAGUCGAGCGGGGUUUUCGGACCUAGCGGCGGACGGGUGAGUAAUGCGUAGGAAGCUACCCGAUAGAGGGGGAUACCAGUUGGAAACGACUGUUAAUACCGCAUAAUGUCUACGGACCAAAGUGUGGGACCUUCGGGCCACAUGCUAUCGGAUGCGCCUACGUGGGAUUAGCUAGUUGGUGAGGUAAUGGCUCACCAAGGCGACGAUCCCUAGCUGGUUUGAGAGGAUGACCAGCCGCACUGGAACUGAGACACGGUCCAGACUCCUACGGGAGGCAGCAGUGGGGAAUAUUGGACAAUGGGCGCAAGCCUGAUCCAGCCAUGCCGCGUGUGUGAAGAAGGCCUUCGGGUUGUAAAGCACUUUCAGCGAGGAGGAAGGGGUGAGUGUUAAUAGUACUCAUCUUUGACGUUCUCGCAGAAGAAGCACCGGCUAACUCUGUGCCAGCCGCCGCCGUAAGAC